rnacentral:rRNA from 1 species
AUGAAGGCCCAAAAUGCUAUAAAUGUGGUGAAGAGGGACACAUCCAGCGGUUGCCCACUAAGGAAAUUUGUUAACACAACUAUCCAUGAUGGUGAAGAUGACCAAGAAGAAUACGAAUCUGAAGAUGUAGAGGGGCAAGAGGUUUGUCAAGAAGAAGGUGAAGAGGUGGUAUGUGUGAUUCAGCGUCUCCUAUGUUCCACACCACAACCUGACAAUACACACCGCAAGAAAAUAUUUGAGAGCAAAUGCACGGUGAAUGGCAAGGUAUGCAAAUUAGUGAUUGAUAGUUGCAGUUGCGAGAAUCUUAUCUCCCAGAAGUUGGUGAACCAUUUAAAGCUUGAUACUCAUGAUCAUCCAAACCCCUACACUAUUGGGUGGAUCAAGAAAGGAGUGAAUAUGAGGAUCACCAAAUAA